rnacentral:rRNA from 1 species
UACGUAGGGUGCGAGCGUUGUCCGGAAUUAUUGGGCGUAAAGAGCUCGUAGGCGGUGUGUCACGUCGGCCGUGAAAACCUGCAGCUUAACUGUGGGCGUGCGGUCGAUACGGGCAUCACUGGAGUUCGGCAGGGGAGACUGGAAUUCCUGGUGUAGCGGUGAAAUGCGUAGAUAUCGGGAGGAACACCGGUGGCGAAGGCGGGUCUCUGGGCCGAUACUGACGCUGAGGAGCGAAAGCGUGGGGAGCGAACAGG